rnacentral:rRNA from 1 species
GACGAACGCUGGCGGCGUGCUUAACACAUGCAAGUCGAACGGUAAGGCCCUUCGGGGUACACGAGUGGCGAACGGGUGAGUAACACGUGGGUGAUCUGCCCUGCACUUCGGGAUAAGCCUGGGAAACUGGGUCUAAUACCGGAUAGGACCACUGCCUGCAUGGGUGGUGGUGGAAAGCUUUUGCGGUGUGGGAUGGGCCCGCGGCCUAUCAGCUUGGUGGUGGGGUGAUGGCCUACCAAGGCGACGACGGGUAGCCGGCCUGAGAGGUGUGACCGGCCACACUGGGACUGAGAUACGGCCCAGACUCCUACGGGAGGCAGCAGUGGGGAAUAUUGCACAAUGGGCGCAAGCCUGAUGCAGCGACGCCGCGUGAGGGAUGACGGCCUUCGGGUUGUAAACCUCUUUCAGCAUCGACGAAGCGAAAGUGACGGUAGGUGCAGAAGAAGGACCGGCCAACUACGUGCCAGCAGCCGCGGUAA